rnacentral:rRNA from 1 species
GAUGAACGCUGGCGGCGUGCCUAAUACAUGCAAGUCGAGCGAACGGACGAGAAGCUUGCUUCUCUGAUGUUAGCGGCGGUCGGGUGAGUAACACGUGGAUAACCUACCUAUAAGACUGGGAUAACUUCGGGAAACCGGAGCUAAUACCGGAUGAUAUUUUGAACCGCAUGGUUCAAAAGUGAAAGACGGUCUUGCUGUCACUUAUAGAUGGAUCCGCGCUGCAUUAGCUAGUUGGUAAGGUAACGGCUUACCAAGGCAACGAUGCAUAGCCGACCUGAGAGGGUGAUCGGCCACACUGGAACUGAGACACGGUCCAGACUCCUACGGGAGGCAGCAGUAGGGAAUCUUCCGCAAUGGGCGAAAGCCUGACGGAGCAACGCCGCGUGAGUGAUGAAGGUCUUCGGAUCGUAAAACUCUGUUAUUAGGGAAGAACAUAUGUGUAAGUAACUGUGCACAUCUUGACGGUACCUAAUCAGAAAGCCACGGCUAACUACGUG